rnacentral:rRNA from 1 species
UACAGAGGGUGCAAGCGUUAAUCGGAAUUACUGGGCGUAAAGCGUGCGCAGGCGGUUGUGCAAGACCGAUGUGAAAUCCCCCGGGCUCAACCUGGGAAUGGCAUUGGUGACUGCACGGCUAGAGUGUGUCAGAGGGGGGUAGAAUUCCACGUGUAGCAGUGAAAUGCGUAGAGAUGUGGAGGAAUACCGAUGGCGAAGGCAGCCCCCUGGGAUAACACUGACGCUCAUGCACGAAAGCGUGGGGAGCAAACAGG